GUGGUAUUAGCUCAGCUGGUUUAGAGCGUUCCCCUGUGGAGGGAAAGGUCGCCGGUUCAAGUCCGGUAUACCACCCCA
rnacentral:tRNA from 2 species